AGCUUUGCGCAGUGGCGAUAUCAUAACCAAUGAGGUUUACCCGAAGUGCGAUUAUUGUUAGUUGAACCAAAAAAAAACCGAAAUGAAUCAAAUGACACUGAGACAAAAGCGCCAUUUCUUUUGACGAUCUAUUUGGCCACUAGUUAGA